UACGUAGGGGGCAAGCGUUGUCCGGAAUCAUUGGGCGUAAAGAGCGUGUAGGCGGCCCGAUAAGUCCGCUGUGAAAGUCCAGGGCUCAACCCUGGAAUGCCGGUGGAUACUGUCGGGCUCGAAUCCGGAAGAGGUGAGUGGAAUUCCUGGUGUAGCGGUGAAAUGCGCAGAUAUCAGGAGGAACACCAAUGGCGAAGGCAGCUCGCUGGGACGGUACUGACGCUGAGGCGCGAAAGCGUGGGGAGCGAACAGG
rnacentral:rRNA from 1 species